GGGAAAAAAAGAAAAUUAAAUAGUACCAUCCCAUGGAUGCUGUACGUGUUUAAAAAUACUUCUUUUUUUUUUUUUUAUAGAGUUAAUUUUAUACACCUCCUUGUAAAUAUAUCAACAUCAAAUAACAAAUAUAUUUUUAUAAAAUUUAAUUUUUAUAUUUAUUCGUGCAAAAGUCCAGUAGUAUUUAUAUUUGCCCUCUGGUUUGUUACCGUUAAUUGUAGCACUGUUUAAUAGAAAAUAAGUAAAAUGACAAUUUCGCUAUAGCAAAUAUAUCUCCCUAAAAGCCUCAACUGUUAGAAUUAUGCAUAAAUAUUCUUUCAAAAAUUUUCAACGGUCGUACUUCUUUCUAUCAUCACAAAUAAUAUAAAAGGGAUAAAAAGAUCAAUUUACCUGAUUCACUAACCAGGGUUAAGUAUUUUAUAUAUGGUUUAUUAUAUUUUUCUAACAAAUCCUAACAGUCGGAAUAUAUUCGAAAAUGUUAGAAUUUUUGUAGGAAUAAUUAUAAAAAGUUAAGCUUUGUAGAAAUAUAUAUGUUAUUCGAUAUGUUUACAGGAAGCUCUACGGAAUCAACCAUUUUUUAUACUAUACAAAAUUCAAAAUUCUAAAAGUGUUUUACUAUUUUCUUAUUUUUAUUAUAAAAUUGC
rnacentral:lncRNA from 1 species